rnacentral:rRNA from 1 species
CCUACGGGAGGCAGCAGUGGGGGCUAUUGCACAAUGGGGGGAACCCUGAUGCAGCGACGCCACGUGGGUGAAGAAGCGCCUCGGCGCGUAAAGCCCUGUCAGCAGGGAAGAAAAUGACGGUACCUGAAGAAGAAGCACCGGCUAACUACGUGCCAGCAGCCGCGGUAAUACGUAGGGGGCAAGCGUUAUCCGGAUUUACUGGGUGUAAGGGGGGCGCAGACGGCGAGGCAAGCCAGGAGUGAAAGCCCGGGGCCCAACCCCGGGACUGCUCUUGGAACUGCGUGGCUGGAGUGCAGGAGGGGCAGGCGGAAUUCCUGGUGUAGCGGUGAAAUGCGUAGAUAUCAGGAGGAACACCGGUGGCGAAGGCGGCCUGCUGGACUGCAACUGACGUCGAGGCCCGAAAGCGUGGGGAGCAAACAGGAUUAGAUACCCUAGUAGUC